ensembl:snRNA U6 U6 spliceosomal RNA
GUGCUUGCUUCAGCACAUAUACUAAAAUUAGAACUAUACAGAGAAGAAUAACAUGGCUCCUGCACGAGUUGUCAUGAAAAUUCAUGAAGCAUUCCAUAUUUUU